rnacentral:lncRNA from 1 species
GAAAUGGAACAGGGGCAGAAAAUAGCACACUUUUACUCUACGCAACUGUUGCUUUUUCAUGAUCUUCAGGAAUUUUACUGGGAUAAUUAUCCAAAUAAAUUGCAAGCAUUCUAUCCAAAUGAAACUUACAACCAAGUUGAAAAGACAAGAGCCAUAAAAUAAAAUAAUAGCAAAUUAAUAUAAAACCUGGAUAAAGAAUGUAAUAACUAGAUGACCAAUUUGAGAGUGCUUAUUGGGACUUAUGAAGAAAAAGAAAUUGAAAAAAGGAGCUCUUUCUGAGAUGAAGAGAAUUCUCAAUGUCAAGAUUUGAACAAGAAGAGAAUGGAAUACACAAUAUGGACAUCCAUAAAAAUUCAUCAGAGAGCAUUUUACUACUGAGCUGCAAAGGGAAAAACUUAAAAUGGAUAUGAAAAGUGAAGAAAGUGAUCAUAGGAGAAAACCAUUUCAGAUAUCUGUGGAUAUCUCUCCAGAACUUCAUGUAUAUGUAAGUGACUUGCUCCCAAUUCUUUCACAUUUUAUCAAUAUCAGCUGUGUUUUGCUUAAAAAAUGAGCCUUACCUAACUAAAAUUUCUACUGUAAUAAAGCAAGUUAAUUGUAGUGAAAUCUAAUUAUCUGUUUACUAUGAUUUCAUUAUAAAUCUUGUGGGUUUUUUUUUCUUACAUUGUCCUUAUGUAUUAGCACCUGUGGUAAGAUAUAUUGAUCACAGUUUCAUCAGAUAGGCAUACUGCUUCAAUAUUGUUUGAAAAAAAUCUUUAUCUUUCAGCUUCAUAUUCUAGGAGGAACCAAAUGUAACAUUUACUUUUCAUUUUGAUUGCAUAUUAACUUGAGGUCAUAAUCUUGCUUUAACAAUCCAUCUCUUCUAAUUAUAGAUAUAGGAGGUAUGGAAGUAUGUGUUUGCCACAGAACAAACCCUGGAUAUAUUUCCAUCUUGCUUAUAAAACUUGUCUUUAUGUAAAUGUUUAAAUAAGAUAUUUUAGGAUAAAUGGUUUUUAUCAUUGCCUAUUAUGUCAUUUUCUAUUAAAAGUGAAUUUUAUACUUAAUUGACUCUGAUUCUUAAGGCAUUAAAUUCUAGUCCAUUCUUCUUAUGAGAUAGGGUUAGUAAAAUAAGUUAGUUUUAUGGGAUCAAAAGCUACAAACAGGCUGGGCAUGCUGGCUCAUACCUGUAAUGCCUGCACUUUGGGAGACUAAGGCAGGAGGAUCGCUUGAGGCUAGAAGUUUGAGACCAGCCAGUGCAAUAUAGCAAGACCCCUGUCUCUAUAAAGAAAAAAAAUCAAGUAAAAA